CCUACGGGAGGCAGCAGUGAGGAAUAUUGGUCAAUGGACGGAAGUCUGAACCAGCCAUGCCGCGUGCAGGAAGACGGCUCUAUGAGUUGUAAACUGCUUUUGUACAAGGGUAAACCUGAAUACGUGUAUUCAGCUGAAAGUACUGUACGAAUAAGGAUCGGCUACCUCCGUGCCAGCAGCAGCGGUAAUACGGAGGAUCCAAGCGUUAUCCGGAUUUAUUGGGUUUAAAGGGUGCGUAGGAGGAUUGAUAAGUUACAGGUGAAAUGUCCGAGCUUAACUCGGGAACUGCCUCUAAUACUGUUGAUCUAGAGAGUAGAUGCGGUAGGCGGAAUGUAUGGUGUAGCGGGGAAAUGCUUAGAGAUCAUACAGAAAACCGAUUGCGAAGGCAGCUUACCAAUCUAUAUCUGACGUUGAGGCACGAAAGCGUGGGGAGCAAACAGGAUUAGAUACCCUAGUAGUC
rnacentral:rRNA from 1 species